GAGAUAUAAACUUAUCUUGUACUUACUUUUUUGUUAUAGAUAUCGACAGCUACUAUUGGUAUACUUGGAGCUGUUGUAGCUUUAUCUUCAGAGUCAGAAGAUAAAUUAGGCACGUGCACAGCGUGGAUAUUGCCAUUUACCUCUGGAGGUUUUCUAAACAUAGCUUUGGUGAAUGUUUUGCCAGAUAUCAUGAAAGAAAAAGAUCCAUGGGAAUCGAUGAAGCAAAUGGCCUGUUUGUGCGGAGGUAUCGGAGUGAUGGGCUUAAUUAAUUUGCUAGUACACUAGUCAACAGCUGUGAUUGAAAAGAAAAGCAGCUGUCAGAAUAUCAUUUGGAACAUCUUCUGUUUCAA